GACACACCUGAGGAAAAGGUCGAACGGGCCCGGGAGGUGUCGGCAGCGGCCAAUCCGGACCAGCUCGGGUGGCCUCGAUGCGCGUCUUUGGCUUCUGCUUUCGACGUGGCUCGUAAACAAAUUCCCGAUGAUGUGAAGUUGGUUCCGCACCGCUCAAUGCAACCCUCAAAUUGAACAGCGGGGGGCACGGAGAACGUCAGCCUCUUCUUGUUUUUGCUCUGGGUUUACACGGCAGAGCUCCCAGGAUGCUUCGGUGCUGCCCACCAUCUUGUGGACCACCCAAAAUAUCUCAGCUAGCAGCGUGCAAACGAACGCCAAGCCAGUGCGAAAGGACGCUAAGCUCCUCCUCCUCUUCGUCCUCCUCCUCCUCCUCCUCCUCCUGGUCCUCAAGGCAAUUCGGAAUGCAGGAUGCCAUCCCUCCUCCCCCUCUAGCGUCUCCUCUGUGUUCCUCCGAUGUGCUUUCCAGUGGGCAGCGGUCUCGCGCGAGGAUCGCCGCCGCUCGCAGAGUCCCCGGUGCCCAUCACCAUGGCGACGGCCGCCUUCGUGCUGUGCCUGCUUCUGGGCUCCGUUUGCCCGCGGCUGGAUGGCGAGGAGGCGGCGCGGCGAGGAGAAGCGAGCGAGCGUGCAGAAAAGACGGAGGACGAGCGCCGGCGCCGCUUUGCAGACGAUGGCUCCAUCCAAAAUGUAGAUGAAGGCGCGGUCACACACGAGCAUGCUGGGUUUUGCACGAGCGACGACUUGGUCGCCCUGGGCGGGCGUCUGGCGGACUGGUUCCAACUUCUGCACGCCAACGGCGAGCAGAACAAGUCGGCCGCCUCAGCGCCGGACAAGAGCUCGCUGGCCAGCUGCAAGGACGCCACGGGCUGGAUGUUCCUCAAGUUGGACGCCGACGGCGACCGGCAGCUGGACCCGAGCGAGCUGGACGCCGUCCGCCUGGACGAGUACGAGGCCUGCGCCGGCGCGUUCUUCCAGUCGUGCGACGGCCGCGGUGACGGCAAGCUGACCGCGGCCGAGUGGUGCCUGUGCUUCUGGGCCCAAAAGCCGCCGUGCCUCGCGCAGCUGGAGAAGAUCCAAGUCAACAACCUGCCGCAAAACACGCCCGACACGCACGUCCCCAGCUGCGACGAGGACGGCAACUUCCGGAAGUUGCAGUGCCGGCCCGGCGGCGGCGAGUGCUGGUGCGUGGACCGGCAGGGCGGCGGCGAGGUGGCCGGCACCAGAACCCACGGCGAUCCCCGCUGCGACGAAGUGUUGGGAUAUUCGGGCCAUUUCGGGAGCGGAGUCGGCUGGGGGGACGAAGAUGAGAAGGAGGAGCAAGAAGAAGGAGGAGACGACGAAAAGGAGAAGGAGAAGGAGGAAGAGGCCGACGCCGACGACGACGACGAGGACGAGGACGGAGGCUACAUCUGGUAGCUGCCGCGGGAGCCCGAACCGAGAGCGUAAAGUCGUGUAGGUCGACGAGGAGGCGACGUGCGCCAUAUUUGUCUCUUACAUAUUCCCUCGUUGCUUCUUCAUUCUUUUUCUGGACAUCAAAUAUAAAGAGGAGGAUGACGAUAACUUGGCGUUGUGUGCACUUGAAGUGCGCAUUGUGCUCUCCUUCGACCACAGCAUGGCAUGCUUACUUUUCUUCUUUUGUUUGUUCGUUUACCAUUUUUGGUUUCGGUGUGGGACAAAUAAGAAUGUGCGUCUGGGCAGAUCGCUUCUGGAAGAAAAACUGUGACGCCGAAGACGCUUGAAUGCAAAGGGCCAAAGGAAAUGUAUUUCAAAAUAUGUCACUUCCUGUUCAUUUGUGGAUGAAAGCUUUUUAUCUUUGUUGUUCAACACUCGCGUGAGAUGAUUACUGCUUGGCAAGUUCAAUUUAGCUUUCUUUAGAAUACAGUUAUUGGGGAAAAAUUAUACAUUGCAUAAUAUGUUCUUUUUAAAACCUUUCAACAAUGAAAAGCAUGACAUUUAAUUUCCAUCAUUCAUUAAAAAAAAUCCACAAAAUGGAGAAAUAGAUAUGAGAAUGAAAAAUAAAUUAUUUUAAACAUUUUUUUAAUCAGCACCAAUGUAAAAUUAUGCCUGGAAAAAAACUCGACCAUUUGAUGCCACGGACACGAGGUUCCAUUUUGAGUGUUUUUAAAAUUGAAAUUAGUCAAGGGCUUUGUGCAGCUCCUCAGCCAAAAGAUCUUGGCAUUGGAAUGUUUUGAAUAUAAUAAAUUCACACUAAAUGGCAGGAGUGGCUUUGCUCAGAUGUUUGAGCCAAUGUGUCCACUAUCACUUACUCAUUUUUCAUCAAUAUAGGGAUGAAUGUGAGUUUUUAUUUUUUUCUUUGUAAUGUUCAAGUCCUUUCUUUCUUUCCAUUGUGG